rnacentral:misc_RNA from 1 species
AAAAAUCUUUAAACAAACAAGUAAACGUUGAUGGGACUGAUUUUGAGAAAGAUAUCAAAUUGGAAUCAAAAGUUGAAGCCCAUGUUGACAAGGGGAUUACUUAUGCUAACGAGUCAGUAAGAUUGCCAUGGGAAGGUGACAAGUUGAGAAAAAGUAAUGCAGAAUUGGCAGAGAAAUUGAUACCUGAGGCUCAACUGAAGAGGCUUAGGA